UACGGGGGGGGUAAGCGUUGUUCGGAAUUACUGGGCGUAAAGGGCUCGUAGGCGGCCAACUAAGUCGGACGUGAAAUCCCCCGGCUUAACCUGGGAACUGCGUCUGAUACUGGGAGGCUUGAGUAUGGGAGAGGGAUGUAGAAUUCCAGGUGUAGCGGUGAAAUGCGUAGAUAUCGUGAGGAACACCAGAGGCGAAGGCGGCUACCUGGACAAUUGCUGACGCUCAGGCCCGAAAGCGUGGGGAGCAAAAGGG
rnacentral:rRNA from 1 species